UCUAGCUGAAUUUCCUAUAUACUACUAGCAGCCCAUAUCUUUCAUUAUUUCUCACUUUUAACCACAAAAUUUUACAAUUUCACAAUUUAAUCCUUAUUUUACAUUUUUGUCAAAAAUCACUUUACAAAACUAGUUCAACUAUCAUCAAGCUUCUAAAAUCUAUCAUUAAACUUCAAAGAAAUAAAGUAUUCAACAAUGACACAUUUCAAAAUCUAUAACAGUUUCAAAA
rnacentral:lncRNA from 1 species